UGGCUGCAGUGAGGAAUUUUGCGCAAUGGGGGAAACCCUGACGCAGCAACGCCGCGUGAGUGAUGAAGGCUUUCGAGUCGUAAAGCUCUGUCAAGUGAGAAGAACCUAUCCCGCACUAAUACCGCGGGAUACUGACGGUAUCACUGAAGGAAGCACCGGCUAACUCCGUGCCAGCAGCCGCGGUAAUACGGGGGGUGCAAGCGUUAUUCGGAAUCAUUGGGCGUAAAGGGCGCGUAGGCGGUCUUUUAAGUCAGAUGUGAAAGCCCGGGGCUCAACCCCGGAAGUGCAUUUGAAACUAAGGGACUUGAGUAUGGGAGAGGGAAGUGGAAUUCCUGGUGUAGAGGUGAAAUUCGUAGAUAUCAGGAGGAACACCGGUGGCGAAGGCGACUUCCUGGACCAAUACUGACGCUGAGGCGCGAAGGCGUGGGGAGCAAACAGGAUUAGAUACCCCAGUAGUC
rnacentral:rRNA from 1 species